rnacentral:lncRNA from 1 species
UGAAGAUCUCAUUUAUAUAUUAGGAGACCUUCCUCGAAAUAAUAAAAAAUUGUACAAAAGUAAGUAGUGUCUCCCUAGUGAAGGCACUGUGUAUUAAAUGACGUCGCUUUGUCCCCAUGUCCAAGUCAUAUCCCUACUUUAGUCGACGUACGCUCGAAGGCGUAGCCAUCAAUAUAGAGAUGUCUAGGGUCAAAUUUGACCCAUUACAAUUACCAUUAAUGUAAGUAACAAGUACAAUUAAUCUCGAGAACAAGGAGCAUUUUAAUUCACACCAACAAAGUGUUGGAAAUAGGAGGAUAUAUAUAUAUAUGGAAGAAAGGAUUGAUGAUUUAGAAGCUUGAUUGAUCUUGA